GACCGGCGACCUUUCGUUGGAUAGGACUGUUCUUUCAAUACGGGAAAAACUUAAGAAGGCAAGGCUAUAGUUGCAAUUUUAGGUCUACACCGUAGAUUGGUCGUGCACCUGUGCAUGCUUAAACCACCCUUCCGGAAAGUACUUAGCCUUGACUUUGCUAUAGAGCCUCGUUUUCGAGAUUGAGAAAUCGGCUUUAAUUUAAGGUGGAUCUCCACCAGACGAUCGUCAAAACAGUUCGCGAUGACACAUGCGCAAUUGAAAAAAGGUUGGAAGAGCGAUCGUCUAGCGCUCGACGAAAACUAGGAUUGACUUCUACUUUUCUCGAGCGCCAGACGAUCGCCAAAUUUUUAACCAAUAAGAUUCUGCGCCGGCUUUUUUUCUUGCUGCUAGUACAUCUCCACUUCUCUCUAAAUCGUCGCGCUCGUCAUAAAAAUCGUCUCAAAAAUUGUCUAGUGGAGAUCCGCCUUUAGAGCAGAUAUAAAGGUCUUUUGUAAUUUCGUAAAAAUAUGUAACACGAUAAAGGACUCUAAAUAGAAUAUCUCAUAUCACGAAAACGAGGAUCUAUAUAUAGUCAAGGCUGAGUAGUUAUUAGAAGGGUGUAUUGCACGCACUAGACUAUAUCUUAACGCUUUUCCGCAUAUAUUAUCAGGUCAACAAAAGGUCUGUUACCGAGACACAAGUGGCAGUUGGUAACAAAAAGAAAAAACAAAGAAAAAGAAUAUAGCGUAUGCAUGGUGUUGAUUUUGUAUCCAUUGGAAUGCACAAAACGUCCUUGGUAAGCGUUUGUUGCGACCUUUAGGGGCCGAUUACAUGGAGCAUUUUCAACCCCGGGGUUGAACUCAGCCCUGGGUUGAAAAUUUUGUCAUGUAAUCGUUUCAACCCAGGGCUGAAAUUAUCAUGACUUAUUCGAGCAUACGUGGUAGUGACUAUUUAUUACAAGAAAACAAAAUAAAGGCUUUUUCUACUUCCGCGAAUCGAUGCCGAGAACGUAUAGUAUAACGUUUCAACCCCGGGGUUGAAAUCGUCCAUGUAAUCGCAAAAAAUUUGAACUCGGUUAACAGGGCUGAGUUCAACCCCGGGGUUGAAAAUGCUCCAUGUAAUCGGCCCCUUAAUUUGCGAUAGUGAUGCACUGAUAUUUUUGUUUCGGAUUAACUUGUAUUCGUGUAAUAAAUUAAAAAACGUAACAAAGCUAUUUUCAUCAUGUUGGAUGAAAUUCGAGGUAGAAACAGGAAAAUUAUUUGUCGUAUUUAUCCAAAUUAUUUGUCGUAUUUAAAUUAUUUGUCGUAUUUAUCCAACAUGGCCACCUAUAUUUGGCAAUAAAAUGGGAAUAUCGAUGGUCUUGGUUGUAUUCAGCCAGCCACUUAAAUCCCUUUGCUUUGGGGAAGAAAGGAUGACUUUAAAGCAUAUGCAUUCAGAUUUAUAUUAUUAGUUAAUUCAACGGGGGGCAAGGUUAGAAAAGAGUAGCUGGAUGGCAUGGAGAAAAUUGGCUUUUUAAAAACAAUGGAAAGACAACGGAACAUUCUCAUCACUGAAUCGUAACUGCAGCGUGCAUGGGUGACACUUUUGUCGUGCUAAGGUUAUAUGCAGAGGGAUAUUGCUUUAAAUUCUCUUCAUUGGUUUAUAUUAUAUUAGUAGUUCCCCGUGUUUUCAAUUACAGUAGUCAGGGUUAAAGAGAGACAAAAACUCUAUUAGAAUUAAGAACUCUUGUGUGAAAUACACAGGAUUUUUGUAUCCACGCAACACGUAGAUAUAAUGCUAUCGUGCGUGUAAGUGUGUUAGUGUCUGUGUUAAGGCCUUUUCACUUCAAUCGUAUUGUAUCGAAGCGUAGCGUGUUUCUUUGUUUUCUGACCACUAGAGUGGAACUAAUGACUUCGACACAAAAGAAAAUGCUACGAUACGGUCGAAGUGGAAAACUGCUUUUAGCUUGCAGUCAAUCAGCGACAAGUAUUAUUUGUGCUUUACGACAUCUUUCCGGCAUUGCUCGAAAUUACGUAACUGAAGCUACUAAACCCUUUUCCUGCGUUUUAUCCCCUUUUCCGCUUCCGGAAUUCCGCAAUUUACAAUGUUUGAUAACUUGGGUUUUAGUUGACUAUUACAUACAUACAUACUUUAUUGAGC